ACGGGGAGCCCCUAGCACAGGUGCUGCAUGGCCGUCGUCAGCUCGUGCCGUGAGGUGUUGGGUUAAGUCCCGCAACGAGCGCAACCCCCGCCGUUAGUUGCCAGCGGUUCGGCCGGGCACUCUAACGGGACUGCCCGCGAAAGCGGGAGGAAGGAGGGGACGACGUCUGGUCAGCAUGGCCCUUACGGCCUGGGCGACACACGUGCUACAAUGCCCACUACAAAGCGAUGCCACCCGGCAACGGGGAGCUAAUCGCAAAAAGGUGGGCCCAGUUCGGAUUGGGGUCUGCAACCCGACCCCAUGAAGCCGGAAUCGCUAGUAAUCGCGGAUCAGCCAUGCCGCGGUGAAUACGUUCCCGGGCCUU
rnacentral:rRNA from 1 species